GCUAGGAUGAACGCUGGCGGCGUGCCUAACACAUGCAAGUCGAACGGAAGGUAAGCGCUUCGGAGACUUCGGUCAAUGUUUGCUUAUCUUAGUGGCGGACGGGUGAGUAACGCGUGGAUAACCUGCCUCACACAGGGGGAUAACAGUUAGAAAUGACUGCUAAUACCGCAUAAGCGCACAGUCUCGCAUGGGACAGUGUGAAAAACCGAGGUGGUGUGAGAUGGAUCCGCGUCUGAUUAGCCAGUUGGCGGGGUAACGGCCCACCAAAGCGACGAUCAGUAGCCGGCCUGAGAGGGUGAACGGCCACAUUGGGACUGAGACACGGCCCAAACUCCUACGGGAGGCAGCAGUGGGGGAUAUUGCACAAUGGGGGAAACCCUGAUGCAGCGAACCGCCGCGUGAGUGAAGAAGUAUUUCGGUAUGUAAAGCUCUAUCAGCAGGGAAGAUAAUGACGGUACCUGACUAAGAAGCACCGGCUAAAUACGUGCCAGCCGCUGC
rnacentral:rRNA from 1 species